CAGGCACUGGGCUAGUUGCAGCAGAGACAAUGGAGAAUAAGACAAACAUGGUAGUUAUUCACCUAGAGGUCAGAGUUCUCUGAACAUCACAGGCUCUGGACGCACAGGCUCAGCGGCCAUGGCUCACGGGCCUAGCCGCUCCACGGCAUGUGGGAUCUUCCCGGAUUGGGGCACGAACCCGUGUCCCCUGCAUCGGCAGGCGGACUCUCAACGACUGCGCCACCAGGGAAGCCCUAACAUGAGGUCUUAAAAGAUGUUGGGACUUUGGCCUUGAUCCCCUUUGGAUCACUCACUCUGGGAGAAGCCAGCUGCCAUAGCAAGGGGACGUUCAAGCAGCCUAUGGAGGAGACUAUGUAAGAUGAAGUCAAGGCCUCCUGCCAAUGGCCAUUACCAAUUUGCUGGCCAUAUGAGGGACCUACCUUGGAAGCAAAUCCUUCAGCCCCAAUCAAGAUUUCAGAUGACUGGAAUUCCAGUCACCAUAUUGACUGCAACCUUGUGAGAGAUUCUGUGACAGAAACACCCAGCCAGUUCUCUCCAAUAUUUCUCAUGCAUGCAAACUGUAAUAGAUAUUAAAUGUUUACUGUUGUUUUAA